UUCAGCUUCCGGUAUUCAGCUUCCCGUAUUCAGCUCCCGGUAUUGGAGUAUUCCUUGGUGUUCCUUAGCAUUCCUUGACUUGCAGACAUCUUCCCAGUCUCCCUUCCAUCUUCACAUGGGCUUCUCAGCUGUGUGGUCCCUGUAUGUCCUGUCUCUUUAUUAGGCCACCCUCAGUGAAUUUAGAAUUCACUCUAACAAAGUAUGAUCUCACGUUGAUCCUUAACGCAUGACAUCUGCAAAGAUCUAUUUCCACGGUGACAGUGAGUGGCCUCCCUGAGAGCAGGACUGUGCCAUCCUCAUGCUGUGUCCCCAGUGACUAGCUCAGUCCUCCGCAGACAGGAAGCUCCAAGCAAACGUCUAGUAAAUAAGUGAAUGAAUGAGUGAUCAGAAUGCACUCUUCUUUGUUGGUGCCAUCCCUUAAGCCCUUCUAAGUGUGACUUGUUUUGACUCAAUGGCAAGUCCAUUGACUUAAAUACCUUGACCAGUUCUCUCAUCCUAAAGUGUCUGGGAGUGUACAAAAGCAAAAAGAGAACACCAAGUUGCUUAGUGGCUCUUCUGUUUGUUUUACUUUAGUUGGGUCCCAGAAACUCGAAAAGCCAACAGCCAGGGUGAUUUAGCAAGUCCUGGG
rnacentral:lncRNA from 10 species